CAAAAUCCAACAUUUUAUCAAGAAUAUAUUUUCUUUCAAUAUCUUCUCUACUUCUUUUUACAUCCUAGCUCCUCCCAAUGCACAAGCUUUCCAAUCAGUUGCACAAAGUGAGACCAGUAUAACUCUGGAGUGGGACAAAGUGAAUGACAUCCUCUAUUAUAUAAUUGUGUUAAGUGGAAGCGAGAUUAAUGUCACUGCAUCAGCGGGACAGGGACCAGUGUCACAAACAAUCUCAGAGCUCACAAGUGGGAAUAAAUAUGACUUCACUCUCUUCACUGUGUUUGAAAAUGUCAGAAGCAGCGGAGUGAACAUCACUGCACCCACUGCUCCUGGAAAUGCACAUAAUGUGACCGUGUCAACACAAAGUGAGACCAGUAUAACUCUGGAGUGGGACAAAGUGAAUGACAUCCUCAAUUAUAUAAUUGUGAUGAAUGGAAGAGAGAUUAAUGUCACUGCAUCAGCGGGACAGGGACCAGUGUCACAAACAAUCUCAGAGCUCACAAGUGGGACGAAAUAUGACUUCACUCUCUUCACUGUGUUUGAAAAUGUCAGAAGCAGCGGAGUGAACAUCACUGCACCCACUGCUCCUGGAAAUGCACAUAAUGUGACCGUGUCAACACAAAGUGAGACCAGUAUAACUCUGGAGUGGGACAAAGUGAAUGACAUCCUCAAUUAUAUAAUUGUGAUGAAUGGAAGAGAGAUUAAUGUCACUGCAUCAGCGGGACAGGGACCAGUGUCACAAACAAUCUCAGAGCUCACAAGUGGGACGAAAUAUGACUUCACUCUCUUCACUGUGUUUGAAAAUGUCAG
rnacentral:lncRNA from 1 species